UGAGCAUUUUCUGUGAGUCAUGAGUAC
rnacentral:piRNA from 1 species